UUUUUACACUACCUUUCCAUCAGGUAAUAUGGUUGUUAUGGAGUAAAUCAGGGAUAAUCACAGCACUUGAUUAAAAGCAACAAAUUCAACAAUGAUUAUUUUGGAGGUAAAGAAGUAAAAUUGAAAAGUCUAUGGGGGAAGCAGACCGAGAGUAAUGUAGAGAUACCAGCAGGGGGGAAUGCAGGUCUAAAGAUCCAGAACCUUUGAAAGUCCCCAGAAUGCUCCUUUCAAGGCUAAGAAUCCACAGCUUCACACUAAAAGGUUCUCCAGCUGAGUUAUGCCCCUUAGUCAUGGAAUUCACACCCCACCUCCUCCACUGACGCAAACUUUGGAGAGCAGCUCUAUGGAGGAUAACCUAAGUGCUGCCUCCAGAGCUAAAGUUUACCUACAUCCAGCAUUCUCUGGGAGAAUGGAAGAGAGAACAUGGAAGCUUGGGAGAACAUGGAAGCUUGGGAGAACAUGGAAG